UUGGGGUGAGGGCUGGCCUGUCUGAGGAGGGGCAUUUGCAGUGCUGGAGCAAGCCAUGGAGGACAGGAAUUGCUCCAGUCAGAGGAACAGCAAGGACAAGGGGCCCAAGACGGCAUGUACUAGAGGCUCCACGCAUAGAAAAAGCCAGCCAUCCCCAGCGCUGUAACUGAGUGGCCAGUGGUGGGAGGUGAGGUCACAGACGCGGAGGGGGCAUACAUGGGGAGUCGUGUUCAUCUCUGUGGACUUGAGGGUCUGGCCCUGAGUAGCGGCUUGCACGUGUUGUUAGCAAUAAUGACAGCUGGGCUUAUGAUGCAGGUACUGUGUCACGCAAGGUGCUGAGUGCUUUACCUGUGGUGUCUUAUUUGACCUUCACAAGCACCCUGAGAGGAAGUUAAGGAUAUUAUCCUUUUCAGCACUGGGUACGUUAUUUGUUGGGGACAAUGCAAGAUAAAAAUGUGGAGCCCCUUGUUAAAGAUUGUUAAGAAUUAUUAACAAAUUAUUUAAAAUUUAUUAAGAAUUUCAACAGCAGAGCAUUCAAGCAAGCAUGGGUCCAUCUAAGUAUGACUGUGCAGGUUGAAUGCCUAUGAAGUAAACUCUGUCCCCAUUUUAAGAUGAAGAAACUGAGGCUCAAGGAGGUUAAGUAAUGUCCCUGGGGGUCAUGCAACUAGGAAACAGCAAAGUUGAGAUCUGUGUUCUUUAUUACAGUCUUUGUAAUAGUUAAUUUUAUGCAUCAACUUGACUGGAUCACAGUGUGCCCAGAUAUUUGAUCAAACAUUAUUCUGAGUGUUUCCGUGACAAUGUUUUUGGAUACAAUCAACAUUUAUUUAAUUGGUUGAAGACCUGAAUAGAACAAAGAGUUCAAUUCUCUCAAGUAAGAGAAUUCCUCCUGUCUGACUACUUCAGAAUUGGGACAUUGGCUUUUUCCUGCCUCUACACUACAACUACACCAUCAAGCCUUCAGACAUGGAAAGGAACCACACUAUUGGCUCUCCUCGGUCUUCAGCUUGCCAACUCAAUGCAGAUCUUUGCAUUUGUCAGCCUUAUAACCAUGUGAGCUAAUUCCCUAAAAUAAAUGUCCUCAUUUAAAUGUA
rnacentral:lncRNA from 1 species